rnacentral:rRNA from 1 species
GCUGAUUAUGGCCUGAUUAAACGCCGGUGGAUGCCGAUGACACGCAAGUCGAACGCAGGCAUCGGACUCUUGGUCUGGUGGUGCGAGUGGCGGAACGGUGAGUAUUCGCAUCGGAACGUGCCUGUGAAGGGGGAUAACUGGCGCGAAAGCGUAGCUAAUACGCAGGCAUACAGUGCCCUUCGGGAAAGCAAAAUCUUCAAUGCACCAUUAGAGCGGUCGAUAUCGAUUAGCCACAGGGUAACGGCUCACCAAGGCGACGAUCCGUAGCUGGUUUGAGAGGACUGACCAGCCACACUGGGACUGAGACGGCCCCAGACUCACGGAGGCAGCAGGGGAAUUUUGAUUAAUGGGAAACCCUGAUCCAGCCAUCCCGGCGUGGUGGUGAUGAAGGCUCAACAAAGACUUUGGUAGGUAGAAAUCGCAAUGGAUAGCUUACUCCCGUGCAACUGACGGUACCUGCAGAAUAAGCACCACAACUCACGCGCCAGCAGCCGCGGUAAUACGUAGGGUGUUGCUAAUCGAAUUACUAAGUGUAAAGCGCAAGUGGCGUCUGGAAAAGAAGAUGUGAAAUCCCAGAAAUAACUUGAACUGCAUUUAACUAUCAGAGCUAGAGUGCGUCAUCAGAGGGAGGUGAAUUCGUGGUAAAGCAGUGAAUGCGCAGGAUAUGCGAGGAACACCGAUGGCGGAAGGCAGCCCUGGGAUAACAUUUAUUUGGCACGAAAGCGUGGGAGCAAAACAGAUUAGAUAAUUAGUAGUCCACGCCCCAAACGAUGUCAACUAGCUUGGGUUGUAUUUGUCGGUAGCGCAGCGCUAACGCGGUGAAGUUGACCGCCUGGGGAGUACGGUCGCAAGAUUAAAACCCAGCGACUGACGGGGACCCGCACAAGCGGUGGACAUGAUUAAUUGAUGCAACGCGAAAAACCUUAUCACCUUGACAUGGUCUGAAUCCCAGCGACGGGGAGUGCUCGCAAGAGAACCGGAACACAGGUGCCGCAUGGCUGCCGUCACUGUGGUCGCAGAUGUUGGGUUAAGUCCCGGUAACGAGCGUAAACUCUUGUCAUUAGUUGCUACGAAAGGGCACUCUAAUGAGGACUGCCAGACAAACCGAGGAAGGUGGGGAUGAUGUCAAGUCCGCGGCCCUUAUGGCAGGGCUUCACACGUCAUACAAUGGCCGACAGAGGUCGCCAACCCGUGAGGGGGAGCUAAUCCAGAAACCCGAUCAGUCUGAUCGCAGUCUGCAACUCGACCGGCGUGAAGCCUGGAAUCGCUAGUAAUCGCGGAUCGUAGCAUGUCGCAGGAACAGCGUUCCUGGCCUUGCACACACCGCCCGUCACACCAUGGGAGUGGGUUUUACUAGAAGUAGUUAAACAACCGUAAGGAGGGCGAUUACCACGGUAGGAUUCAUGACUGGGUGAAGUCGUAACAAGGUAG